rnacentral:misc_RNA from 1 species
GAAAUGCGAAAAGUAAUGUGAAUUGCAGAAUUCAGUGAAUAAUCGAAUCUUUGAACGCACCUUGCGCUCCUUGGUAUUCCUUGGAGCAUGCCUGUUUGAGUAUCAUGAAAUCCUCAAAGUAAAUCUUUUGUUAACUCAAUUGGUUUCUACUUUGGUAUUGGAGGUCUUUGCAGCUUCACACCUGCUCCUCUUUGUUCAUUAGCUGGAUCUCAGUGUUAUGCUUGGUUCCACUCGGCGUGAUAAGUUAUCUAUCGCUGAGGACACUGUAAAAGGUGGCCAAGGUAAAUGCAGAUGAACCGCUUCUAAUAGUCCAUUGACUUGGACAAUACUUUUAUGAUCUGAUCUCAAAUCAGGUAGGACUACCCGCUGAACUUAAGC